UACGUAGGUGGCAAGCGUUGUCCGGAAUUACUGGGCGUAAAGGGCGCGUAGGCGGCCUUCUAAGUCGAACGUGAAAUCCCUGGGCUCAACCCAGGAACUGCGUCCGAUACUGGGAGGCUUGAAUCCGGGAGAGGGAUGUGGAAUUCCAGGUGUAGCGGUGAAAUGCGUAGAUAUCUGGAGGAACACCGGUGGCGAAGGCGGCAUCCUGGACCGGUAUUGACGCUGAUGCGCGAAAGCCAGGGGAGCAAACGGG
rnacentral:rRNA from 1 species